GACAGAGGUGCCGAGCGUUAGGCGGAAUCACUGGGCUUAAAGCGUGUGUAGGCGGGCCCGUAAGUGCAUCGGUGAAAUCCCACGGCUCAACCGUGGAACUGCUGGGCAUACUGCGGGCCUUGAGCGGUCUAGGGGCAGGUGGAACAAGUGGUGGAGCGGUGAAAUGCGUAGAUAUCACUUGGAACGCCAACGGUGAAAACAGCCUGCUGGGGACCUGCUGACGCUGAGACACGAAAGCCAGGGGAGCGAACGGG
rnacentral:rRNA from 1 species